GACAGACACAGGGAUUUAGUGAUACCAAAAACUUUUUGCUUUACACUUCGCCGGUAAUCUGACUUCACUCGCCGGAAUAUACUUCCACCGGUUUAGAAAACAGUUGAGAAAAGAAAGGAAAACAAAAUUCUGGGUGAAGGGUUGUUACCAGGCACAUAAGAUUUGAGUUUCUAGAAGCGGCAAUAUCAUAUAUGUGA